AGAGUUUGAUCAUGGCUCAGGAUGAACGCUGGCGGUCUGCUUAACACAUGCAAGUCGAACGGAGUAGAAAUACUUAGUGGCGGACGGGUGAGUAACGCGUGAGAAUCUGCCUUCAGGACGGAGACAACAGUUGGAAACGACUGCUAAGCCCCGAUGAACCGAAAGGGAAAAUAUUUAUAGCCUGAAGAUGAGCUCGCGUCCGAUUAGCUAGUUGGCGGAGUAAAAGCCCACCAAGGCGACGAUCGGUAGCUGGUCUGAGAGGACGAUCAGCCACACUGGGACUGAGACAUGGCCCAGACUCCUACGGGAGGCAGCAGUGGGGAAUUUUCCGCAAUGGGCGAAAGCCUGACGGAGCAAGACCGCGUGGGGGAAGAAGGCUCUUGGGUUGUAAACCCCUUUUCUCUGGGAAGAAAGUUGUGAAAGCAACCUGACGGUACCAGAGGAAUCAGCAUCGGCUAACUCCGUGCCAGCAGCCGCGGUAAGACGGAGGAUGCAAGCGUUAUCCGGAAUGAUUGGGCGUAAAGCGUCCGCAGGUGGCAGUUCAAGUCUGCUGUCAAAGACCGGGGCUUAACUUCGGAAAGGCAGUGGAAACUGAACAGCUAGAGUAUGGUAGGGGCAGAGGGAAUUCCUGGUGUAGCGGUGAAAUGCGUAGAGAUCAGGAAGAACAUCGGUGGCGAAGGCGCUCUGCUGGACCAUAACUGACACUCAGGGACGAAAGCUAGGGGAGCGAAUGGGAUUAGAUACCCCCGUAGUCC
rnacentral:rRNA from 1 species